AUUGAACGCUGGCGGCAUGCCUUACACAUGCAAGUCGAACGGCAGCGGGGGAGAAGCUUGCUUUUCCUGCCGGCGAGUGGCGAACGGGUGAGUAAUACAUCGGAACGUGCCCUGUAGUGGGGGAUGACUAGUCGAAAGAUUAGCUAAUACCGCAUACGACCUGAGGGUGAAAGUGGGGGACCGCAAGGCCUCAUGCUAUAGGAGCGGCCGAUGUCUGAUUAGCUAGAUGGUGGGGUAAAGGCCUACCAAGGCGACGAUCAGUAGCUGGUCUGAGAGGACGAUCAGCCACACUGGGACUGAGACACGGCCCAGACUCCUACGGGAGGCAGCAGUGGGGAAUUUUGGACAAUGGGCGAAAGCCUGAUCCGGCAAUGCCGCGUGUGUGAAGAAGGCCUUCGGGUUGUAAAGCACUUUUGUCCGGAAAGAAAUGGCUCUGGUUAAUACCUGGGGUCGAUGACGGUACCGGAAGAAUAAGGACCGGCUAACUACGUGCCAGCAGCCGCGGUAA
rnacentral:rRNA from 1 species